GUUCCCUGGUCCACGCAGCACUCGGUGUCAGCGAACCCAGGACAAACCGUCCAGAUCACCUGCUCCGGGGGUAGCAAUUGGUAUGGCUGGUACCAACAGAAGACACCUGGCAGUGCCCCUGUCACUGUGAUCUAUGGUAGCAACAAGAGACCCUCAGACAUCCCUGCACGAUUCUCCGGAUCCAAGUCCGGCUCCACAGCCACGUUAACCAUCACUGGGGUCCAAGCCGAGGACGAGGCUGUCUAUUACUGUGGUUCCCUGGUCCAGGCAGCGCUGACUCAGUUGACCUCGGUGUCAGCGAACCCAGGACAAACCGUCCAGAUCACCUGCUCCGGGGGUAGCAAUUG